rnacentral:rRNA from 1 species
UCGAAAGGGGUGCUAAUACCGGAUAAGCCCACGGUCUCUUCGGAGAGCGCGGGAAAAGGGGGCCUCUGUAUAUGCUCCUGUCGCUAGAUGAGUCCGCGUACCAUUAGCUAGUUGGUGGGGUAAUGGCCUACCAAGGCGACGAUGGUUAGCUGGUYUGAGAGGAUGAUCAGCCACACKGGAACUGAGACACGGUCCAGACUCCUACGGGAGGCAGCAGUGGGGAAUUUUGCGCAAUGGGCGAAAGCCUGACGCAGCAACGCCGCGUGAGUGAUGAAGGCUUUCGGGUCGUAAAGCUCUGUCAAGGGGAAAGAAGUGUAUUGUGGCUAAUAUCCCUGAUACUUGACGGUACCCCUAAAGGAAGCACCGGCUAACUCCGUGCCAGCAGCCGCGGUAAUACAAG